UCUCUCGCAAGCCUCGCACAGCGCGAUGAAGUUAUCAAUUUUCGGCAGGGGACACUGAAUGGGAGGCCUCUAAACGCGUGUUUCGAUGGAUCGAAGCCAAAAAAUGGUUUUCUACUACGUGAUUUCUAUGACGGCGUAACGAAUUCCGCGCUUAUAGUUAUUUUCAAAAUUAUGAGUCGUCUAAGAAAUUUUCAAAUGUUGCGGUUAGUUCAGUAGCAACGUGCGCGUCGUAAUGUUAUCUCAGUAUGUGCCUAUUUCGUGAAUUCGAACGGAUGGUUGAAGUGAUUUUUUUUCUUACACAGUUCGCUUAAAAUUAUUAUUUACAGAGUGUAAAAUUAUCUAAAAUAUUUCAAAACAGUGUGAAAUAAUCGACAAAUUUUCUGAACGUGAUUUUGAAGCGAAAAUCCCGGGGAACCAAAAAAGAGGUUAAGAAAAUUGGCAUUUUGUCAGCAGACACCUGGAUAAUGGAUUCAAUUUGAAGCGUGUAAAAGUACACAAGUCGAACGACCUAGUUCAUCAAACGAUCAGAUCAAAGAAGACGGCGAACCAGAAGCGUGAAAUUGUAUAAUUACAUUAAAUAGACUAUUUUCCAAUAA